rnacentral:tRNA from 1 species
AGGCUUGUAGCUCAGGUGGUUAGAGCGCACCCCUGAUAAGGGUGAGGUCGGUGGUUUCAAGUCCACUCAGGCCCU